AUUUCUCAAUUUAUGUGUUAUUCUAUGUAUCCAUUUACCAUGAUAGAACAUACAUCUCCUUUUGGCUGGGGAGCGACAGGAGGAUUUGCCAAUGGAAAAGCAAUAGCAGGAGCCAAUGGAGUUGGGAUCAGUGUCAAGCCUUUGUGAGAACCUGUCAUCUUCCACACCACUAAUAUUCAAACUCAUUUUAGGAUUAUAUGUAUGAGGAUAAAGAGAUUCAACUAAUCGUUUGUAUUCUUGCGCACUCUGGGAAGAAAGUAAAGCUUACAGCUGCAUGUAGCAAUGUUUCAAUAUCUCAGGGGCUGCCACAAAGAAGAGGGAGUCAAGCUAUUCUCCAAAGCCCCUGAAGGCAGGACAAGAAGCAACGGAUGGAAACUAAUCAAGGAGAGAAGCAACCUAG